CAGCGACAAUUUCUCAGGAAAACGCGUC
rnacentral:sRNA from 1 species